rnacentral:lncRNA from 1 species
AAUACAUUCAUGACAUAUAGAGAGACAUUGAAUACAAUGAAAUACAUAUUUAUAGCGGGAUACAUUGAAAUAUAAUAAGAAAAAAUAUAGUGAAUUCAAUGAAAUACAUGAAAUACAAUAAGACACAUUGAAUUACAAUGUAAAGGGAAUGAGAAAUAUGGUCAGCAAGGGCAGAGAGGAACGCGGCAGUGGUACAACGGUCAACGGAGACGACAAGGUUGUCACCAUCGACAUAGCAGAGGGAUUUAUCGUGGGGACGUUGAAAUAUAUGCCCACCGUAGCUGCUAAAGUAUUGCAAGUUCUGAGACUGUCUUCAGGCAUAAAUUUUUCCUAGUAAAUUUCUUUUUUUGCUUUCUGCAACUUUGAAUCUUAUCUUAAAGUACUUUCACAUACAGAAUUGGAACAGCCAUCAAUCCUAUUAAUUGUGCCCUACAUAGCUUUGAACUAUUCCAACAUUUAAAACUAGCCGACGAGCGAUUGAGGUUUGCUCUAAUAAAUGAAACUAAAACGCCAACAGAGAUAAGUUGGCCAUCGCUGCCUUCACUUUUUAUAGUCCAUCACUGCCUUCGCUGCAUCAUGACUCAAUUGCUGCCUCACUAAAAAGAAAGAAAUUCGUGCCCUUUUGGUGGUCCAUCGCUGCCUCACUGAGAGAGAAAAUAAUUCAUGCCCUUUUGAGAUUGAGCGUU